rnacentral:lncRNA from 1 species
GAUGGAUUGAAGUUCAGUUUUAUUUCCUUUUCUGACUCAUUUAUUCUCUCCCAGGCAAAGUCAUUUGUACUCCAGCUACCUUCGAAAGGCAUGAUGCCCAGGCUAAGAAAAUUUUCCAAUCUUUUAAUGGGACUGCUGCAGAUGAAGAAAAACAUCACGUAUAGAAAACCAAUGAUCAAAAGUGACCACCCCUCUCUAGGACACUUAAAUACAAAGAGGAUCUCAGACAGUCAGGACGAUGUGAGGACUGGCCCACCCCAGCGAUUAUCCUCUAGAGAAGAGAGAGUCCAAGGAAGAGGAGAUGCCACCGUGUUAGAAUCACACCCCGGCUGUAGCUUGAAGUGCGGCCACAGAGCUGGGUGCAUCCACGUCUCCCGGCAUGUGUUCUAAGGAUGCAGAUUCCAGGGCCCCAGCUCCACUCCUGUCCAUCACGACCCAUGUGGGUGGACCCCCUCUAUGCUUCUAAAUGAGCACCCCUAAUGUUUGCCAAAGAGAAUUAAAGGCAGCUUAACUCAUUUCCCCACUUGUAAAAUGUUAUUUCUCCUAAAGUUUCAGAUGGCUCUGGACUGGGAAGCACCUUUAAUUGUUGAUGGCUUGUAGGAUGCUUGGCCUGGAGUGAGAGGAUGAGUGGGAGGAGAAGGAGACAGAUGAGAAUUUUUCCCCCAACUUUUCCACUCAAAAUUCUUAUUUUCAUGUUCUUCUUUUGCUUUUGGGGUUCCACACAGUAAAUGUGUCUUCUUGCUUUUCUUUCCAGAAUGUGCUUUCCUAUCCAUAUUCUCACUGACCCUAAAGCCCAUGCCACCCCUGGCAUAGACGAAACCCAGGUCCUGACCCUCAGAAACUGUCCAGCUCUGCCACUGUCUCAAGGACAGAACAGUGUAGAAACGGUUAUAAAUGUGUGGGGGGGCAGUUAAACCGAUUGCUUAACCGGAGUGGAUGUUCCCCGGGUGGAUGAGGAAGAUUUUGCAAAUCUGUGUGGUCUGAAAGGACAAGUUCCUGUAGAUUACAUCGGGUUUAUCUUGGCUCUGCCCAGAAGCGAUUUGGCUCUGAUAAGGAGACCUCUAGCAGAGUCUUUUUGGCUUCUGAGGAGUGGAAGAACUGUCAACCUGAUCCCUCAAGAGAAAGGGCCAUGUCUUAUGUGGCUCUAUGAUUUCCUUAAGAUCUUGGAAUAGUGCUUUCAUUUGUCCAAUAACGUUUAUUUAUUAAUUAAACAUCUGUUAAACCCUGGAGAGCUGCCAGACACUGUAGUAGGUGGUCAUAUGUUAGAAUAAAUAAGCGAUGGUCUCACUGUGGAUGACCUUU